rnacentral:tRNA from 1 species
GGGCCCAUAGUCGAGAGGUUAAGACGCCGCUCUCACACAGCGGAGAACCCAGGUUCGAAGAGCCUUUUUGCUGGCGGAAAAGGCCCGAAAAUCCUGGUGGGCCCA